rnacentral:lncRNA from 1 species
GAAAGAGGGUGGGCCUGGCUCCCCUGACACGCACGGAAGGAGUGGAGUGAGCUGGUGCAGAUGAGGGCGGCCCACAGGGGUGCCGGGAGGGCCUUGACUCAGUCCGGCUCCAAUCGGUCCUGGGACAAGGGCAGAAUUCAGCCGCUGCUGGCAGCCCCUGUCCAGUGUCCGGGUCCCGAAUUUUAGGAGCCACUGCUGCCCCCUUGGUCGCCUGAAACCCUCUCUCCUUCCUGCCUCCGAUCAUAACCCUGCAAUCUGGCCCUAAUCGCCGCCGGACUCUGUCAUGUGAAGGCCUGGCCCACACCUGCCUUCGCAGCCCACGGAACCCUGGCAGCCCCACCAGCUCGGAUGAGGGGCCAGGCCGCUGCCUCGGGCGCCCUGUGGAUUUCGAUUCACUGCUGCUGCUGCUGCUGCUGCUGCUGCUGCUGCUGCUGCUGCUGCUGCUGCUGCUGGGGCGCCAGCGAUGUGUGACCUCGUGGCUGGAUGUGGGUCCUCGGGCUGGGCUGUGCCUUGCCCCAUGCUGGUGCAGGGAAAAUUCUUCAGGUACGCUUGGCGGUUGCUGAGUUCCUCGCUAACGCCUCUCGCUGCUCCUGGACCCAGUGCAACCAGGACCCGCACCACCACGUGCACUACAUGAAGGUGGGGAAGGCAGCCCCACCUGCAGCAGCCUGGCCUGCAUCUGCAUCUACCAGUUGGACUCCUUCCUGCAACCCAUGCGCACCUACCUGGGCCUGGAGAGCUGUGAUGAGGUGCUGAGGCUCGUGACCCCUCGGGGCCUCUGGCCUUCCUGCUGGCCAGCAAGUAGUUCCUGUCGAAGAAGGGACAGCAGCCAUCCCAGGGCAGUGACCGCGGGACCCAGGUUGGGGCCCUCCCACGCCAGUGACAACUUUCCCGUAGAACACCUCACCAUGGGCAGCCGCAACCCCAGCGAUGUGGCUGGCGGCCCUUAGAACUGCCUCACCAGCCUGACCCAGGACCGGGGCGGGGAUGCGCUUCAGUCCUGCCCUACAUGGACUCAUGAAAAGCGUCUCGCUGUUGGGAACUCUUCCUCCACCGUAUAAAGAAGGCCGGGCUAGCUUGCUGAAGAGAUGGGGAUCCACCUCGAGCCAGCACCAAGCAGCAGACACGUGCAGAAGAGCUACUCUGUGUCCUGUGUGGGGCGGUACAGGGAGCGGAAGGGCAGCCAUUCCCAGCGGUCCGGGGCAGAUCCUGGCGCAGAUCCUGCAGCAAGCCUCGCUGCCAGGUUACACCGCCGCGCUCCAUGGCAUCUUUCAGGGCACCAAGGGACUGGUGAGAGGACGAGCUCUCCGCUCAGGGUGUCUCCUGCACGCAGCACCUGGGAAUGUUCGCCUCCACAGUGUCUUUGGACGUGGACUGGAGCCUGGCAGGGAACGCCUUCCAGGAAAGGAACCAGGGAAGCUUUCUAAUUCUGACAUUAGUUUUGCAAGCAUUGCUUUGUUUUGCUUUGCUUUAUAUUUAAAACCCUUUUCUCCAAAAAAUUCAUGCCAUUUUCAUCCUCUGAAUCAGAAUUGGAAUCGGUCACAGAAUUCUCUGAGGGUUCAGGGGGCGCUGCUCUUUUGUUGGCUGCUCCCCUAG